GUCAUCUGUUUAUAAGAAAGCUGUUAAUGCUACGUACAUUUCGUCGGUUUUCUUGAAGCAUUUGAUUGAGAGCUGCAAAAGCGAAAGCCUAGAGGAGUUGCAUCUUUCUCUGGAUGAAAGUGAACCAGUUCCACAGGGUUUUGUGAUGGAUCAGAACAUUGAGAACUUUGUCAUGCACGGCGUGUUGAGCUUCAUAGGAUCAACAGAUGUUAGUCCCAACUCCUAUCUUCUACAUCAGGAACUGUUGAACUUCAUG